rnacentral:rRNA from 1 species
AAUCCGCGUGUCUUACGAGGAUUCCCCUAAUACUUAACAAGGAUUCCCCUAAUACUUAACAAGGAUUCCCCUAAUACUUAACAAGGAUUCCCCUAGUACUUAACACGGAUUCCCCUAAUACUUCAGGGGAUUCCCCGGAUACUACCGUGCUUUGCGAUACACGCUCAAGAGUCGAGUAGUUUGGGAUUGCUGCUCAAAAUGGGUGGUAUACUCCAUCUAACCUUAUAAUCGGGGAAAGACCGAUAGCUAACAAAUGCCGUGGGGAAAUAUGAAAAGCACUUUGCAAAGAUAGUUACAAUUACGUGUAAAUUGUCGAAAUGGAAGCGCUUGUAGUCACCCCUGCUGCUGGGGACUCACCUUGGCAUCUCGCUGAGGGUAUUUCUCCAUUAGCAAUUCUGCAUUGGUUUGCUGCGCCGGAUAAGGGUCCA